rnacentral:misc_RNA from 1 species
GUGAAUCAUCGAAUUUUUGAACGCAAAUUGCACUCUCUGGCAUUCCGGAGAGUAUGCCUGUUUGAGGAUCAGUAAAAAUAAAACUCGAAGUGUUGCCGUUCUGUGACCCAGCGGAAUUGGGUUAUCUUUCAUCUUUUUAAAAGUUUAAGUGACCUAAUAUUGAUACCUUGUGCAUCUCAGACGUACAUUUGAA